rnacentral:rRNA from 1 species
CGAAAGUCUGACGGAGCAACGCCGCGUGAGUGAUGAAGGUUUUCGGAUCGUAAAGGCUCUGUUGUUAGGGAAGAACAAGUACCGUUCGAAUAGGGCGGUACCUUGACGGUACCUAACCAGAAAGCCACGGCUAACUACGUGCCAGCAGCCGCGGUAAUACGUAGGUGGCAAGCGUUGUCCGGAAUUAUUGGGCGUAAAGGGCUCGCAGGCGGUUUCUUAAGUCUGAUGUGAAAGCCCCCGGCUCAACCGGGGAGGGUCAUUGGAAACUGGGGAACUUGAGUGCAGAAGAGGAGAGUGGAAUUCCACGUGUAGCGGUGAAAUGCGUAGAGAUGUGGAGGAACACCAGUGGCGAAGGCGACUCUCUGGUCUGUAACUGACGCUGAGGAGCGAAAGCGUGGGGAGCGAACCAGGAUUAGAUACCCUGGUAGUCCACGCCGUAAACGAUGAGUGCUAAGUGUUAGGGGGUUUCCGCCCCUUAGUGCUGCAGCUAACGCAUUAAGCACUCCGCCUGGGGAGUACGGUCGCAAGACUGAAACUCAAAGGAAUUGACGGGGGCCCGCACAAGCGGUGGAGCAUGUGGUUUAAUUCGAAGCAACGCGAAGAACCUUACCAGGUCUUGACAUCCUCUGACAAUCCUAGAGAUAGGACGUCCCCUUCGGGGGCAGAGUGACAGGUGGUGCAUGGUUGUCGUCAGCUCGUGUCGUGAGAUGUUGGGUUAAGUCCCGCAACGAGCGCAACCCUUGAUCUUAGUUGCCAGCAUUCAGUUGGGCACUCUAAGGUGACUGCCGGUGACAAACCGGAGGAAGGUGGGGAUGACGUCAAAUCAUCAUGCCCCUUAUGACCUGGGCUACACACGUGCUACAAUGGACAGAACAAAGGGCAGCGAAACCGCGAGGUUAAGCCAAUCCCACAAAUCUGUUCUCAGGUUCGGAUCGCAGUCUGCAACUCGACUGCGUGAAGCUGGAAUCGCUAGUAAUCGCGGAUCAGCAUGCCGCGGUGAAUACGUUCCCGGGCCUUGUACACACCGCCCGUCGCACCACGAGAGUUUGUAACACCCGAAGUCGGUGAGG